AUUUCAUUCAUGUAUGUUGAAAGAUCCCCGAAGGGAGACCCUCACUCUAGUCUCAGGAAGUCUCGGACCCCGACACACGAGAGACC
rnacentral:pre_miRNA from 14 species